UGCAUUCCUACAGCAAAUCCUGGUUGGUCAUGGCGGAGACUGUAAAGCAAUCAUUCUCAAGGAGGGGCUUUUUCACACAGUAUGCCUGGAGAGAGCCUGCACCACCACCGCGUUCCUCCCCGAUGAGUCCAGUGAGCCACGGCUGCCGGCUACGGUGUUGUGGUGCUCAGGCGUGUUGGAUGGAAAUGGAAUCUUACUCCAAUGAGUAGAAGCAGAGAAAUUCUAGCCCCGGGAGAAGACCCAAGAAAAGUGUAACAAGAGGCACCUCUGUCACUGAGCCCCUCUCUCUAUGCCAGGAUCUGAGCCAGGAGCUACUCCUGAACAACUCUGUGAGGUUCCCAAGGCAUGCCAGCUAGCACCUGACCUACAAGAUUCCAGCUGUUUAACUGCCAUCACAAAGGCUCAUGAUGUGUUGACAGUAUUUCUGCCUGCUGCUCUGAAAAUUCAAGGAAAUAAAUACCUGACAU